rnacentral:lncRNA from 1 species
AAGAUGUACAGAAAAGGACUCCCUCAGUAUCUCUCUGAGCUAGAAGGACACAUGAAAGAAUAAAAACAAACAAAUAGACCUAACUCUAAAUCCAUGUUAUACAGUGUUCUGCAAAACUAUUAGCACUGGAUUCAGUUUAUUUACAGGGAAGUUGCAUAAAGCAGAGGAUAACUUCAAGAGAUUCAUAUGUAAGAAUUUUUUAGUUUUGGGACUGUGUUAUAGAAGAAGUUAUGAAGAAAACAGUGAAUGAGUUUGGCAUAUGAAGAGGACACUCUUGUAAAUGAAGCAUUAUCCUCAGAGAUUUUCUUGGCUGAAAAUGCAUCAUCAAUGAUCAGUUCAAGAGGAAGCCUUAAUAGAAGGAUGCAUGAAAUCUUGGUGGUUGAGAUUUGGCAAGAUCAAUGUGAUAGCCAAGGUAAGAGUAUUGUUUAUCAAAUUGAGUCAUAUUUAGA